CACGUAGGCGGACUGGAAAGUCAGAGGUGAAAUCCCAGGGCUCAACCUUGGAACUGCCUUUGAAACUCCCGGUCUUGAGGUCGAGAGAGGUGAGUGGAAUUCCGAGUGUAGAGGUGAAAUUCGUAGAUAUUCGGAGGAACACCAGUGGCGAAGGCGGCUCACUGGCUCGAUACUGACGCUCAAAUGCGAAAGCGUGGGGAUCAAACAGGAUUAGAUACCCCGAGUA
rnacentral:rRNA from 1 species